rnacentral:ribozyme from 14 species
GCAUGAUGAAUAAAAUAAAAAACCCUGCUGUGCUGCAAAAUCAGACAGCUGGCAUCUACUUUUUUGGAAAACAGUGCACACAUAUGGAGGACUUAUACAUUUAUUUGUUUUUCUUUUUCCUGUUUUUUAUUCCCCCUU